rnacentral:rRNA from 1 species
ACGUUACGAUGUCGAUUUGGAGGUUGUGCCCUUGAGGCGUGGCUUCCGAAGCUAACGCGUUAAAUCGACCGCCUGGGGAGUACGGCCGCAAGGUUAAAACUCAAAUGAAUUGACGGGGGCCCGCACAAGCGGUGGAGCAUGUGGUUUAAUUCGAUGCAACGCGAAGAACCUUACCUACUCUUGACAUCCAGCGAAUCCUGUAGAGAUACGGGAGUGCCUUCGGGAACGCUGAGACAGGUGCUGCAUGGCUGUCGUCAGCUCGUGUUGUGAAAUGUUGGGUUAAGUCCCGCAACGAGCGCAACCCUUAUCCUUUGUUGCCAGCGGUUCGGCCGGGAACUCAAAGGAGACUGCCAGUGAUAAACUGGAGGAAGGUGGGGAUGACGUCAAGUCAUCAUGGCCCUUACGAGUAGGGCUACACACGUGCUACAAUGGCGUAUACAAAGAGAAGCGAACUCGCGAGAGCAAGCGGACCUCAUAAAGUACGUCGUAGUCCGGAUUGGAGUCUGCAACUCGACUCCAUGAAGUCGGAAUCGCUAGUAAUCGUGGAUCAGAAUGCCACGGUGAAUACGUUCCCGGGCCUUGUACACACCGCCCGUCACACCAUGGGAGUGGGUUGCAAAAGAAGUAGGUAGCUUAACCUUCGGGAGGGCGCUUACCACUUUGUGAUUCAUGACUGGGGUGAAGUCGAAAAGGGAAACACACAUUAAA